UACAGAGGUCUCAAGCGUUGUCCGGAAUCAUUGGGCGUAAAGAGCGCGUAGGCGGCCCUGUAAGUCCGCUGUGAAAGUCAAGGGCUCAACCCUUGAAUGCCGGUGGAUACUGCAGGGCUAGAGUCCGGAAGAGGCGAGUGGAAUUCCUGGUGUAGCGGUGAAAUGCGCAGAUAUCAGGAGGAACACCGAUGGCGAAGGCAGCUCGCUGGGACGGUACUGACGCUGAGACGCGAAAGCGUGGGGAGCGAACAGG
rnacentral:rRNA from 1 species